rnacentral:rRNA from 1 species
ACCCAGACCGCCAGCUAAGGUCCCAAAGUCAUGGUUAAGUGGGAAACGAUGUGGGAAGGCCCAGACAGCCAGGAUGUUGGCUUAGAAGCAGCCAUCAUUUAAAGAAAGCGUAAUAGCUCACUGGUCGAGUCGGCCUGCGCGGAAGAUGUAACGGGGCUAAACCAUGCACCGAAGCUGCGGCAGCGACACUAUGUGUUGUUGGGUAGGGGAGCGUUCUGUAAGCCUGUGAAGGUGGCCUGUGAGGGUUGCUGGAGGUAUCAGAAGUGCGAAUGCUGACAUAAGUAACGAUAAAGCGGGUGAAAAGCCCGCUCGCCGGAAGACCAAGGGUUCCUGUCCAACGUUAAUCGGGGCAGGGUGAGUCGACCCCUAAGGCGAGGCCGAAAGGCGUAGUCGAUGGGAAACAGGUUAAUAUUCCUGUACUUGGUGUUACUGCGAAGGGGGGACGGAGAAGGCUAUGUUGGCCGGGCGACGGUUGUCCCGGUUUAAGCGUGUAGGCUGGUUUUCCAGGCAAAUCCGGAAAAUCAAGGCUGAGGCGUGAUGACGAGGCACUACGGUGCUGAAGCAACAAAUGCCCUGCUUCCAGGAAAAGCCUCUAAGCAUCAGGUAACAUCAAAUCGUACCCCAAACCGACACAGGUGGUCAGGUAGAGAAUACCAAGGCGCUUGAGAGAACUCGGGUGAAGGAACUAGGCAAAAUGGUGCCGUAACUUCGGGAGAAGGCACGCUGAUAUGUAGGUGAAGCGACUUGCUCGUGGAGCUGAAAUCAGUCGAAGAUACCAGCUGGCUGCAACUGUUUAUUAAAAACACAGCACUGUGCAAACACGAAAGUGGACGUAUACGGUGUGACGCCUGCCCGGUGCCGGAAGGUUAAUUGAUGGGGUUAGCGGCAACGCGAAGCUCUUGAUCGAAGCCCCGGUAAACGGCGGCCGUAACUAUAACGGUCCUAAGGUAGCGAAAUUCCUUGUCGGGUAAGUUCCGACCUGCACGAAUGGCGUAAUGAUGGCCAGGCUGUCUCCACCCGAGACUCAGUGAAAUUGAACUCGCUGUGAAGAUGCAGUGUACCCGCGGCAAGACGGAAAGACCCCGUGAACCUUUACUAUAGCUUGACACUGAACAUUGAGCCUUGAUGUGUAGGAUAGGUGGGAGGCUUUGAAGUGUGGACGCCAGUCUGCAUGGAGCCGACCUUGAAAUACCACCCUUUAAUGUUUGAUGUUCUAACGUGGGCCCGUAAUCCGGGUUGCGGACAGUGUCUGGUGGGUAGUUUGACUGGGGCGGUCUCCUCCUAAAGAGUAACGGAGGAGCACGAAGGUUGGCUAAUCCUGGUCGGACAUCAGGAGGUUAGUGCAAUGGCAUAAGCCAGCUUGACUGCGAGCGUGACGGCGCGAGCAGGUGCGAAAGCAGGUCAUAGUGAUCCGGUGGUUCUGAAUGGAAGGGCCAUCGCUCAACGGAUAAAAGGUACUCCGGGGAUAACAGGCUGAUACCGCCCAAGAGUUCAUAUCGACGGCGGUGUUUGGCACCUCGAUGUCGGCUCAUCACAUCCUGGGGCUGAAGUAGGUCCCAAGGGUAUGGCUGUUCGCCAUUUAAAGUGGUACGCGAGCUGGGUUUAGAACGUCGUGAGACAGUUCGGUCCCUAUCUGCCGUGGGCGCUGGAGAACUGAGGGGGGCUGCUCCUAGUACGAGAGGACCGGAGUGGACGCAUCACUGGUGUUCGGGUUGUCAUGCCAAUGGCACUGCCCGGUAGCUAAAUGCGGAAGAGAUAAGUGCUGAAAGCAUCUAAGCACGAAACUUGCC